UACAGAGGUCUCAAGCGUUGUUCGGAUUCAUUGGGCGUAAAGGGUGCGUGGGUGGCGCUGUAAGUCGGGUGUGAAAUUUCGGAGCUUAACUCCGAAACUGCAUUCGAUACUGCGGUGCUUGAGGACUGGAGAGGAGACUGGAAUUCAUGGUGUAGUAGUGAAAUGCGUAGAGAUCAUGAGGAAGACCAGUGGCGAAGGCGGGUCUCUGGACAGUUCCUGACACUGAGGCACGAAGGCCAGGGGAGCAAACGGG
rnacentral:rRNA from 1 species